AAUAUUAAAAAUCCUAAGCUGUUUGACAUAACAAAAGAAAAACAAAAUCUACAACUGACCAAAACAUUGUUAAACGAUCAAUGAUCUACUAAAUUCGUCGUGUAUAACAAGUCAGCAGCACGUGUGUUUCGUGUGUCGUGCGUCGUGUGUCGUGUGUCGUGCCCCUCGUGAACUCACCACACUUGUUUUGUGUAACUUGCAUUGAUUGAGUUAUACGUGUACUUGUUAAUACAAAUUUCCUGUAAAGAGUGGUAAUAAUUCAAAACUAGUACGACAACAAAACGUGUAAAAGUUACAACAUAAACAAAAACGACCAACAACAAACAACAAAAA